GAUGAACGCUGGCGGCGUGCCUAAUACAUGCAAAUCGAGCGAACGGACGAGAAGCUUGCUUUUCUGAUGUUAGCGGCGGACGGGUGAGUAACACGUGGAUAACCUACCUAUAAGACUGGGAUAACUUCGGGAAACCGGAGCUAAUACCGGAUAAUAUUUUGAACCGCAUGGUUCAAAAGUGAAAGACGGUCUUGCUGUCACUUAUAGAUGGAUCCGCGCUGCAUUAGCUAGUUGGUAAGGUAACGGCUUACCAAGGCAACGAUGCAUAGCCGACCUGAGAGGGUGAUCGGCCACACUGGAACUGAGACACGGUCCAGACUCCUACGGGAGGCAGCAGUAGGGAAUCUUCCGCAAUGGGCGAAAGCCUGACGGAGCAACGCCGCGUGAGUGAUGAAGGUCUUCGGAUCGUAAAACUCUGUUAUUAGGGAAGAACAUAUGUGUAAGUAACUGUGCACAUCUUGACGGUACCUAAUCAGAAAGCCACGGCUAACUACGUG
rnacentral:rRNA from 1 species